AGAAAACAUGUUGUGUUUGCACCUGGAGAUCUUGUUUGGUUACAUUUGCGUAAGGAUAGAUUUCCUGAUUUGCACAAAUCAAAGCUAAUGCCACGUGCUGAUGGUCCCUUUAAGGUGUUAGAGAAAAUAAAUGAUAAUGCAUAUAAACUUGAGCUGCCUGCAGAUUUUGGGGUUAGUCCCACUUUUAACAUUGCAGAUUUGAAGCCUUAUUUGGGUGAGGAAGAUGAGUUUCCGUCGAGGACGACUUCAUUUCAAGAAGGGGAGGAUGAUGAGGACAUCAAUACCAUUGUUACACCCACAACCCCUACUGCUACAUAUACGGGACCAAUUACUAGAGCUCGCGCACGCCAAUUAAAUUAUCAGGUACUUUCAUUUCUUGGUAAUGAUUCUAAUGUUCAUGAGAAUAUGAUGCUGCCUAAAUUGGAUACAUUUGUUUUGCUGACAAAUGAAGGGCCUAGCUUGGAGAAGGAUGAACAUUGGAGCAAGAACAAGCAUGGAGAUGAUGCCAUGCGCAAGGGGAACAAGAACGGA
rnacentral:rRNA from 1 species